UCAGCUGCCAUUGCACCCAAGGACAUGAUCCUCUCCAGAUUCCUGAAGCCCUGGCUGGGGGAUGGGCUCCUGCUGAGUGGUGGUGACAAGUGGAGCAGGCACCGCCACAUGCUGACACCCGCCUUCCACUUCAACAUCCUGAAGUCCUACGUGAGGAUUUUCAAUGACAGUGUGAACAUCAUGCAUGUUUUAUUAUUGCUAACAAGUCUACAAGUCAGUGAGCUG